UACAGAGGGUGCGAGCGUUAAUCGGAAUUACUGGGCGUAAAGCGUGCGCAGGCGGUUGCGUAAGUCAGAUGUGAAAGCCCCGGGCUCAACCUGGGAAUUGCAUUUGAGACUGCGUAGCUAGGGUGCGGAAGAGGGAAGCGGAAUUUCCGGUGUAGCGGUGAAAUGCGCAGAUAUCAGGAAGAACACCCGUGGCGAAGGCGGCUCUCUGGGACGGUACUGACGCUGAGACGCGAAAGCGUGGGGAGCGAACAGG
rnacentral:rRNA from 1 species